UGACUCGGCCUCAGGAUGGCUAGAGGCAGGAAUCAAGCGCACCCAAAUGAGUGCAUCAUUGAUCAUGUGCGCAUCACGCAGAGGGAGAGUGGGAGUGAGAGACGAAAGGCGCAGCGACAGAGCAUGGGAGUUGUAAUGCAGUUUGUGUGAUUCUGUGUGCGUUAAUGAAUCUAAAACCAUGCUUAUAGUCACCUAUACUGCAUCUGCUACAGUUAUAAGUUCAUAUCUGGCUGCCGCACAGUUGAAUUUAUCCUGGCAAGCCCUGCUGUAACCAGUUCUUCUGUGAAGCUUAAUUAAAGACAGUGAACUCAACUCCUGGACUGCUGCAGUCUUUCUGACCGAAGACUUAGGCCAGACUUGUAUA